UACGGGGGGGGCAAGCGUUGUUCGGAAUUACUGGGCGUAAAGGGCUCGUAGGCGGCCAACUAAGUCAGACGUGAAAUCCCUCGGCUUAACCGGGGAACUGCAUCUGAUACUGGAUGGCUUGAGUUCGGGAGAGGGAUGCGGAAUUCCAGGUGUAGCGGUGAAAUGCGUAGAUAUCUGGAGGAACACCGGUGGCGAAGGCGGCAUCCUGGACCGAUAUUGACACUGAUGAGCGAAAGCUAGGGGAGCAAACGGG
rnacentral:rRNA from 1 species